rnacentral:rRNA from 1 species
UACAGAGGGUGCGAGCGUUAAUCGGAAUUACGGGGGGUAAAGCGUGCGUAGACGGUUAUUUAAGUCGGGUGUGAAAGCCCCGGGCUCAACCUGGGAAUUGCAUUCGAGACUGAAUAGCUAGGGUGCGGUAGAGGGAAGCGGAAUUUCCGGUGUAGCGGUGAAAUGCGUAGAUAUCGGAAGGAACAUCAGUGGCGAAAGCGGCUUCCUGGACCAGCACCGACGUUCAGGCACGAAAGCGUGGGGAGCAAACAGG